rnacentral:lncRNA from 1 species
UGUCCCCUAAAAUGAGAAUGAUGUUCUCUUUUCUGUGAGUCAGGAUUUAAAAAGGCUUAAGCUUAUCAGGCGUUUAAUAGGGGUAACAACAUAAUAGGAAAUUGGGUUCGGUUCUAAUCUACAGAGACAAGAAAGAUAUGUCCAGUUCUAUCUAUUUUAUUAAAGGUCUAAUACACCUUUAUUUAUAAAUUCACACAACAACAGACAGUUAAACUAUUUUAUAGUAGAAUCUGGUUAAACCAGAUUGUGCAUUAUCAAUGUCGGUUUUCAAUAUAAUUACAUACAAGUCCGAGUUCCAAGCAUACCAGAUAUAUUAAAUGAAGGAUACGGUAGAAAUUCUUAUUUGACCGGAAUGGGUCAAGUCAAGAUCUGGUCAAGUUCCAGAUUGGGUCAAGUUCCAAAAGUGGGUUAAACCUUAUAAUAAAUAAAUUAAAUUUAUAUAAAAAUAGGUAAAGAUCUAGGAUCAGUGACAGGUUAAAUGUUUAAUUAAUUAAAAUGGGUCUUAACCUCCAUAUGAGGGUACAUUUACAUGUAGCAGCCUGCUGGUUUAAGCCUUCUAGCGCUACUGUUUACAAAAGAUGCUGAGUGGACUUAAAUAGAAUAAGGGCGCGCGACCUAGUAUGACGUCACACGGUGCAAGAAUACACAACGUGCAGGAUAGCGCGGUCUGCUUGGAACUCGUAUAACUCGAUAAAACAAGCGAGUAAAAAGCUGAAAUCGGUCUCAAAAUGAAGCUAAGACAUUAUAUGAUCUAUAGAAAUCGGUAAUACAGAUUGUCAGACAGAAUUAUGCGUGAAAAUGGCGAUAAAACUGGGACCAAAUCUGGAUCACGAGGCGCUUGUUGAAAAGAUGUACUAUAUGUCAGACGUUAUUUAUACCAGUCGGACCAUAAAUUUAUACAUUCUAAGAGUGACUGACUUUAAACAGACAACACAACGGUAAUGUUUUGUUGAGGAAACAGUGACAUGGAUAUAUACAUAUUUGUAAUACAGGGCAGUCAUACUUAUAAUGUCUUAAGGUAAGUAUAAUGAACACAUGUCAUACUAUUUUUCAAUACUUUGAAAAAAAAAUUAUUCUACAAAAAUCUAAGAAAAAUCCUUAAGUGUUUAAGGUAACAGCAUGUUUAGUAAUACUUCAAUAAUAAUAAUUUAACCUGUGUCAAAAAUUUAACGUUAAUACAUACAGUAUUAAACACAUGUACUAAAUUGCUGAAACUUAGAUUUUACAAAUUUUUUUACUAAAUUCUGGUAAACUGUAAAAAUACUUACACGUAGGGUAGAUAUUACUAUUAUCAUUAUGUUAAAUUUAUGAACUUCAGUGAAAAUUCUACU